rnacentral:rRNA from 1 species
AGUGAACGCUGGCGGUAGGCCUAACACAUGCAGGUCGAACGGCAGCACAGUAAGAGCUUGCUCUUACGGGUGGCGAGUGGCGGACGGGUGAGGAAUACAUCGGAAUCUACUUUUUCGUGGGGGAUAACGUAGGGAAACUUACGCUAAUACCGCAUACGACCUACGGGUGAAAGCAGGGGAUCUUCGGACCUUGCGCGAUUGAAUGAGCCGAUGUCGGAUUAGCUAGUUGGCGGGGUAAAGGCCCACCAAGGCGACGAUCCGUAGCUGGUCUGAGAGGAUGGUCAGCCACACUGGAACUGAGACACGGUCCAGACUCCUACGGGAGGCAGCAGUGGGGAAUAUUGGACAAUGGGCGCAAGCCUGAUCCAGCCAUACCGCGUGGGUGAAGAAGGCCUUCGGGUUGUAAAGCCCUUUUGUUGGGAAAGAAAAGCAGCAGGUUAAUACCCCGCUGUUCUGACGGUACCCAAAGAAUAAGCACCGGCUAACUUCGUG